GGGCGCAUAGCUCAGUUGGUUAGAGCGCGUCACUGAUAAUGACGAGGUCCCAGGUUCGAAUCCUGGUGCGCCCA
rnacentral:tRNA from 1 species